GAGUUUGAUCUUGGCUCAGGAUGAACGCUGGCGGCGUGCCUAAUACAUGCAAGUCGAACGAACAGAUAAGGAGCUUGCUCCUUUGACGUUAGCGGCGGACGGGUGAGUAACACGUGGGUAACCUACCUAUAAGACUGGGAAUAACUCCGGGAAACCGGGGCUAAUGCCGGAUAACAUGUUGAACCGCAUGGUUCUACAGUGAAAGACGGUCUUGCUGUCACUUAUAGAUGGACCCGCGCCGUAUUAGCUAGUUGGUGGGGUAACGGCUACCAAGGCGACGAUACGUAGCCGACCUGAGAGGGUGAUCGGCCACACUGGAACUGAGACACGGUCCAGACUCCUACGGGAGGCAGCAGUAGGGAAUCUUCCGCAAUGGGCGAAAGCCUGACGGAGCAACGCCGCGUGAGUGAUGAAGGUCUUCGGAUCGUAAAGCUCUGUUGUUA
rnacentral:rRNA from 1 species